rnacentral:misc_RNA from 1 species
GAAAUGCGAUAUGUACUGCGCUGUGCGCGAAAUGCGCAGUCAUUCUUCGAAUACACAUUGUCCUGUCUGGCGAAUAGCCGGCAGGGCAUCUGCUUCAGGGUUGUUGAUUAGCUUAGCGCCGCUUAUGUCGGUGUUCUUGGUAGGGUCACCACCCGUGUGUCCCCUCCGUUUUGUGUCCCCGAUGCUCUUGCUUCUGUGGACUUGGGUGUCUAGCGAUCUGGUUCAUUGCUUGCAGUGUCCCUAUAGUAUUGCUUUCCCCUUUUGUACAAACCCGACCUGAAGUCAGGUGUGAGUACCCGCUGAACUUAA